ensembl:lncRNA
UUGUCCUCUUGUUAUGCCACCGAGUCGUUGUCCUCUUGUUAUGCCACCGAGUCGUUGUCCUCUUGUUAUGCCACCGAGUCGUUGUCCUCUUGUUAUGCCACCGAGUCGUUGUCCUCUUGUUAUGCCACCGAGUCGUUGUCCUCUUGUUAUGCCACCGAUAGACGUUAGAGAGGUAUUUAUAACCUGUCAAAGUUCACGUUGAUCAACUACAGGUCAAAGUUAUCUACGCAGGUAAGUUAGGCUAACCAGCUAGCCAAAUCUGGUAGUUAUCGUGUCCAGAUUACGUCCACAGGGGCCUCGAAGCCCAGGGGGCCACCAUUGAUUUUAGACAUGUAAAAAUUUGUAGAAUUGGGGUGUGGUACUACCUUUUAUUUAUUUGACCUUUAUUUAAACUAGGCAAGUUGAAGAACAAAUUCUUAUUUUCAAUGACGCCCUAAAAAAACCUUUGGUUAACUGCCUUGUUCAGGAGCAGAACGGCAGAUUUUUUUACCUUGUCAACUCACGGAUUCAAUCUUGAAAACUUUCGGUUACUAGUCCAAUGCUCUAACCACUAGGCUAGCUGCCACCCCACUAUGUGAUGUGGUGUGGUACCACCACUGCAGAAACACAGGGAUAAGGUGAUCCUUCUCUACCACACCAAAAGAAAAGGGAUAAGGUCACCAACAAUUCUCAGAUUUCCAUACCCAGCUACAACAUUUUCCGUCAAGAUAGAACUGCCAAAGGGGGAGGAGUUGCAAUCUACUGCAGAGAGAGUCUACAAAGUUCUCAUACUUUCCAGGUCUAUACCCAAACAGUUUGAACUUCUAAUUUUAAAAAUUAACCUCUCCAGAAAUAAGUCUCUCACUGUUGCCGCCUGCUAUCGACCCCCCUCCGCUCCCAGGUGUGCCCUGGACACCAUUUGUGAAUUGAUCGUGCCCCAUCUAGCUUCAGAGUUCGUUCUGUUAGGUGACCUAAACUGAGAUAUGCUUAACACCCCGGCAGUCCUCCAAUCUAAGUUAGAUGCCCUCCAAUCUCACACAAAUCAUCAAGGAACCCACCAGGUACAACCCUAAAUCCAUAAACAUGGGCUCCCUCCUAGAAAGUAUCCUGACCAACUUGCCCUCCAAAUACAUCUCCGCUGUUUUCAAUCAGAUCUCAGCGAUCCCUGCCUCAUUGCCUGUAUCCGCUAUGGGUCCGCUGUCAAACGACCACCCCUCAUCACUGAUAAACGCUCCCUAAAACACUUCUGCGAGCAGGCCUUUCUAAUCGACCUGGCCCGGGUAUCCUGGAAGGAUAUUGACCUCAUCCUGUCAGUCGAGGAUGCCUGGUCAUUCUUUAAAAGCAAUUUCCUCAGCAUCUUAGAUAAGCAUGCCCUGUUCAAAAAAUGCAGAACUAAGAACCGAUAUAGCCCUUGGUUCACUCCCGACCUGACUGCCCUUGACCAGCACAAAAACAUCCUGUGGCGGACUGCCAUAGCAUCGAAUAGUCCCCACGAUAUGCAACUGUUCAGGGAAGUCAGGAACCAAUACACGCAGUCAGUCAGGAAAGCAAAGGCCAGCUUUUUCAAGCAGAAAUUCGCAUCCUGUAGCUCCAACUCCAAAAAGUUCUGGGACACUGUGAAGUCCAUGGAGAACAAGAGCACCUCCUCCCAGCUGCCCAGUGCACUGAGGCUAGGUAACACGGUCACCACUGAUAAAUCCAUGAUAAUCAAAAAUGUCAAUAAGCAUUUCUCAACAGCUGGCCAUGCCUUCCUCCUGGCUACUCCAACCCCGGCCAACAGCUCCGCCCCCCCCCGCAGCUACUCGCCCAAGCCUCCCCAGUUUCUCCUUCACCCAUAUCCAGACAGCAGAUGUUCUGAAAGAGCUACAAAACCUGGACCCGUACAAAUCAGCUGGGCUAGACAAUCUGGACCCUCUCUUUCUAAAACUAUCCACCGCCAUUGUUGCAACCCCUAUUACCAGCCUGCUCAACCUCUCUUUCGUAUCGUCCGAAAUCCCUAAAGAUUGGAAAGCUGCCGCGGUCAUCCCCCUCUUCAAAGGGGGUCAUCAUAAACGCCAUCGAGAAAAGACAGUACUGUGCAGCCAUCUUCAUCGUCCUGGCCAAGGCUUUCGACUCUGUCAAUCACCGUAUUCUUAUCGGCAGACUCAAUAGCCUUGGUUUUUCUAAUGACUGCCUCGCCUGGUUCACCAACUACUUUGCAGACAGAGUUCUGUGUGGUAAAUCGGAGGGCACCUCUGGCAGUUUCUAUGGGGGUACCACAGGUUUCAAUUCUCGGGCCGACUCUUUUCUCUGUAUAUAUCAAUGAUGUCGCUCUUGCUGCGGGUGAUUCCCUGUUCCACCUCUACGCAGACGACACCAUUCUGUAUACUUCUGGCCCUUCCUUGGACACUGCUAACUAGCCUCCAAACGAGCUUCAAUGCCAUACAACACUCCUUCCGUGGCCUCCAACUGCUCUAAAACGCUUGUAAAAACCAAAUGCAUGCUUUUCAACCGUUCGCUGCCCACACCCACCCGCCCGACUAGCAUUACCAUCCUGUAUGGUUCCGACCUAGAAUACGUGGACAUCUAUAAAUACCUAGGUGUCUGGCUAGACUGUAAACUCUCCUUCCAGACUCAUAUUAAACCUCUCCAAUCCAAAAUCAAAUCUAGAAUCGGCUAUCUAUUUCGCAAGAAAGCCUCCUUCACUCACGCCGCCAAACUUACCCCAGUAAAACUGACUAUCCUACCGAUCCUCGACUUCGGCGAUGUCAUCUACAAAAUAGCUUCCAACACUCUACUCAGCAAAUUGGAUGCAGUCUAUCACAGUGCCAUCCGUUUUGUCACCAAAUCACCUUAUACCACCCACCACUGCGACCUGUAUGCUGUAGUCGGCUGGCCCUCGCUACAUAUUUGUCGCCAGACCCACUGGCUCCAGGUCAUCUAUAAGUCUAUGCUAGGUAAAGCUCCGCCUUAUCUCAGUUCACUGGUCACGAUAACGACACCCACCCGUAGCACACGUUCCAGCAGGUAUAUCUCACUGAUCAUCCCCAAAGCCAACACCUCAUUUGGCCAGCUUUCCUUCCAGUUCUCUGCUGCCAGUGACUGGAACAAAUUGCUGAAGUUGGAGACUUUUAUUUCCCUCACCAACUUUAAACAUCAACUAUCUGAGCAGCUAACUGAUCGCUGCAGCUGUACAUAGUCCAUCUGUAAAUAGCCCACCCAAUCUACCUACCUCAUCCCCAUACUGUUUUUAUUUUAUUUACUUUUCUGCUCUUUUGCACACCAGUAUCUCUACUUGCACAUCAUCUGCUCAUUUAUCACUCCAGUGUUAAUCUGCUAAAUUGUAAUUAUUCGCUCCUAUCUCAUGCCUUUUGCACACACUGUAUAUAGACUUUCUUUUUUCUACUGUGUCAUUGACUUGUUUGUGUUAUUGCCUUGUUUAUUGUUUACUCCAUGUGUAACUCUGUCUGUCACACUGCUUUGCUUUAUCUUGACCAGGUCGCAGUUGCAAAUGAGAACUUGUUCUCAACUGGCCUACCUGGUUAAAUAAAGGUGAUCUGGUCUACCUGGUUAAAUAAAGGUGAUCUGGCCUACCUGGUUAAAUAAAGGUGAUCUGGCCUACCUGGUUAAAUAAAGGUGAUAUGGCUUACCUGGUUAAAUAAAGGUGAUCUGGUUAAAUAAAGGUGAUCUGGUCUACCUGGUUAAAUAAAGGUGAUCUGGCCUACCUGGUUAAAUAAAGGUGAUCUGGUCUACCUGGUUAAAUAAAGGUGAUAUGGCUUA